AUGUCAGAUGAUAUGGACACUUCUUCACCUUCUCAUACAGUGAAAAGGUUAUAUCAGAUGCUGUUGGACACACCCAUGAAAGCAAUCGAUCCAAAAGAUCAAACAAGGGGAGAGUCAACAUGCCCCUUGACUCAGGUGCUAGAGAGAUGGCAUCAAUAUUAGAGAGAUGGGAUCUCUGGGAAUCUUCAAAAGGAAAUGGGGGUUCUAGAAGCAAUUUGUAUAAGCUGUACAGGGUACCCUACCAACAA